CCUACGGGAGGCAGCAGUGAGGAAUAUUGGUCAAUGGACGCAAGUCUGAACCAGCCAUGCCGCGUGCAGGAAGACGGCUCUAUGAGUUGUAAACUGCUUUUGUACGAGGGUAAAUCCCGAUACGUGUAUCGUGUUGAAAGUAUCUUACGAAUAAGGAUCGGCUAACUCCGUGCCAGCAGCCGCGGUAAUACGGAGGAUUCAAGCGUUAUCCGGAUUUAUUGGGUUUAAAGGGUGCGUAGGCGGUUCGAUAAGUUAGGGGUGAAAUCCCGGGGCUCAACACCGGCACUGCCUUUGAUACUGUCGGGCUAGAGUUUAGUUGCGGUAGGCGGAAUGUAUGGUGUAGCGGUGAAAUGCAUAGAGAUCAUACAGAACACCGAUUGCGAAGGCAGCUUACCAAACUACGACUGACGUUGAGGCACGAAAGCGUGGGGAGCAAACAGGAUUAGAUACCCGAGUAGUC
rnacentral:rRNA from 1 species